rnacentral:rRNA from 1 species
UACGUAGGGGGCAAGCGUUGUCCGGAUUUAUUGGGCGUAAAGAGCGUGUAGGCGGCCAUGCAGGUCCGCUGUGAAAACUCGAGGCUCAACCUCGAGACGUCGGUGGAAACCGUGUGGCUAGAGUCCGGAAGAGGAGAGUGGAAUUCCAGGUGUAGCGGUGAAAUGCGUAGAGAUCUGGAGGAACACCGAUGGCGAAGGCAGCCUUCUGGGCCAACACUGACGCUCAUGCACGAAAGCGUGGGGAGCAAACAGG